CCACACUUUUAUGCAUAAGUGCACGGUAAUAUUGACUACUGUAGAAAUUGUCCAUUCAGUGCUCGGUUAUAAAUAUUCACUAGAGCGCAACCGGCAGAUGGGGCGAAUGUGUCUGGUAUCUCUCUCCAUCAUCUGAAGUUUCCACACCUUUAAAAUUACCCUUUUAAUUCACAUUCUUCGCGGUCUCUGUUUGAUUAUCCUAUCCUGCUCGAUUUUCACAUCAGCUAUAAAUCAAUUGACACAUGAUGAGAUGAGGGAUCUGCACACAACUGUGAAUGGAGCGUUAACGGGAGAAGUCGGCACGCGCUUCUUGUUCACACACACCCAACGCUUGGACAAAGUGUGUGUGAUUGCUAUGUGUGUUCUGAAUGUGUGCAUAUCAAGGCUAUGGGUACUCUGAGGGACCUGCAGUUUGCGCUGCAGCUGAAGAUCGAGGAGCUCCGUCAGAGAGACACUCUGAUAGAUGAGCUGGAGUUGGAGCUGGACACUAAAGAUGACCUCAUCAGACAGCUGCACCGCAAAGCUCCACAACACCCAGGGACCACUGGGAGCACUGAGAGCACAGUGCCUGAUGAGCCGCAGCGAACUAAGAGACAGGCAAUAUCAGCAGAACCCAGUGCCCUGGGCCCUGCCGAACUCACACACGUCACACUCACCAACUACAGCAAGAGCGAGGUGUAAGUACACAAACACAUGCAUACACAUUCACACACACAUACAUUCUCUCUCUCUCUCUCUCUCUCUCUCUCUCUCUCACACACACACACACAAACACUUUCUCCAUGUACAGGUCUAGAGAGCUGAUCCAGAGGGCUCUGCUGGAGAAUGACUUAAUGAAACACCUGGAGCAGGGACAGGUACUAUGACUAUAUAGUAUUAGUGUAAUACUGCUGUAGUAUUACUCUCAAUGUCUUUGAUGGAUAUCCAUUUAUAUACACUGCUCAAAAAAAUAAAGGGAAC
rnacentral:lncRNA from 1 species